GACGAACGCUGGCGGCGUGCCUAAUACAUGCAAGUAGAACGCACAGUUUAUACCGUAGCUUGCUACACCAUAGACUGUGAGUUGCGAACGGGUGAGUAACGCGUAGGUAACCUGCCUGGUAGCGGGGGAUAACUAUUGGAAACGAUAGCUAAUACCGCAUAAUAUUCAUUAUUGCAUGAUAAUUAAUUGAAAGGUGCAAUUGCACCACUACCAGAUGGACCUGCGUUGUAUUAGCUAGUGGGUGAGGUAACGGCUCAACUAGGCGACGAUACAUAGCCGACCUGGGGAGGUGAACGGCCACACUGGGAACGGGGCACGGCCCAAGCUCCUACGGGGAGGAGCCGGAGGGGAACUUCGGCAAUGGACGGAAGUCUGGACGAGCAACGCCGCGUGAGGGGAGAAGGGUUUCGGGUCGUAAAGCUCUGUUGUAUGGGAAGAACGGAUGUGAGAGUGGAAAGUUCACGCUGUGACGGUAUCUAACCAGAAAGGGACGGCUAACUACGUG
rnacentral:rRNA from 1 species